rnacentral:rRNA from 1 species
GAUGAACGCUGGUGGCGUGCCUAAUACAUGCCAGUCGAGCGAACAGACGAGGAGCUUGCUCCUCUGACGUUAGCGGCGGACGGGUGAGUAACACGUGGAUAACCUACCUAUAAGACUGGGAUAACUUCGGGAAACCGGAGCUAAUACCGGAUAAUAUAUUGAACCGCAUGGUUCAAUAGUGAAAGACGGUUUUGCUGUCACUUAUAGAUGGAUCCGCGCCGCAUUAGCUAGUUGGUAAGGUAACGGCUUACCAAGGCAACGAUGCGUAGCCGACCUGAGAGGGUGAUCGGCCACACUGGAACUGAGACACGGUCCAGACUCCUACGGGAGGCAGCAGUAGGGAAUCUUCCGCAAUGGGCGAAAGCCUGACGGAGCAACGCCGCGUGAAUGAUGAAGGUCUUCGGAUCGUAAAACUCUGUUAUUAGGGAAGAACAAAUGUGUAAGUAACUAUGCACGUCUUGACGGUACCUAAUCAGAAAGCCACGGCUAGCUACGUG